rnacentral:rRNA from 1 species
UAAGUCGCAAGACGAUGUAUAGGAGCUGACGCCUGCCCGGUGCUGGAAGGUUAAGGGGAUCUGUUAGAGUAAUCGAAGCAGUGAACUUAAGCCCCAGUAAACGGCGGCCGUAACUAUAACGGUCCUAAGGUAGCGAAAUUCCUUGUCGGGUAAGUUCCGACCCGCACGAAAGGCGUAACGAUUUGGGCACUGUCUCAACAACAGACUCGGUGAAAUUGUAAUUCCGGUGAAGAUGCCGGAUACCUGCGACAGGACGGAAAGACCCCAUGGAGCUUUACUGUAGCUUGACAUUGGGUCUUGGUACUACAUGUACAGGAUAGGUGGGAGGCUUUGAAACCAGGACGCCAGUUUUGGCGGAGCCAUCCUUGGGAUACCACCCUUGUAGUACUGGGACUCUAACCAUAGGCCAUGAAUCUGGUCUUGGGACACUGUCAGGUGGGCAGUUUGACUGGGGCGGUCGCCUCCCAAAAGGUAACGGAGGCGCUCAAAGGUUCUCUCAGUACGGUCGGAAAUCGUACGUAGAGUGUAAAGGCAAAAGAGAGCUUGAUUGCAAGACAUACAGGUCGAGCAAGGAUGAAAAUCGGACUUAGUGAUCCGGUGGUUCUGCGUGGAAGGGCCAUCGCUCAACGGAUAAAAGCUACCCUGGGGAUAACAGGCUUAUCUCCCCCAAGAGUCCACAUCGACGGGGAGGUUUGGCACCUCGAUGUCGGCUCAUCACAUCCUGGGGCUGUAGUAGGUCCCAAGGGUUGGGCUGUUCGCCCAUUAAAGUGGUACGCGAGCUGGGUUCAGAACGUCGUGAGACAGUUCGGUCCCUAUCCGUCGCAGGCGUAGGAAAUUUGAGAAGACCUGUCCUUAGUACGAGAGGACCGGGAUGGACG